AAACAAAACCCUAAUACCUCAUUUCUCAAAAAAUCUUCCGUCGCCUCUCCACACUCUCUCUCUACAAACCCUCUCUUCUUUACCUUCUCUAUAAAACAAAACCAUUGUUGACCUCCAUCGCCGCUCCGCCUCGCCUCCCUCCAUCGCUGCUCCGCAUCUCUCCGUUCAUCCCCCAACAGCAGCUGCCCAGCGCCCCUACCGGCUCUCCUUCUCAAACAGCCACCGCCGCCGUUCUCUCUUUCACCGGUGAGCUCCUCUCUCGCCACCAAUUGUUGCUGCAGCCAGCUCUACAAUCAAGCCUAUUCCAGCCCAAUGCCAUUCUGACAAGCACCAUUUUCUAAUCCUUUGUUUCUUCAUUUUUAACAUAUUUUUUUAUCUGAAAUUGACAAAAUUUGACUGAAGUUCUUGUUUGAUUUCUUCUUAUUUGGAUUUUUUUACAUCUUUAGAUUGUUAUGUAUGAAAACCCCAAAAUUUAUGAGCUAUGAUCAACCCUAGACGCAGAAGGAGCUGAAUAAGUAACUGAAAGUGAAAAAAAUUAGUCUUUCUAGGCUUAUUAAAACUAAAGUAAAGGAGAAUAAUAUGAAGAAUAGGCUCACAUAUAUUACACUAGGUUGAGGGAUCUUAUACAAUUAUAGUGUUGCUCUAAAUGGUAGAAUUUGACUGACUUGGGAUCAAAAUUGGUAUGAAGUACAUAUUCUUGGCACCUCUCCUCCACUACUACAUUGUAUGAUUAUAGAUAGAUGCAAAGACCACCUGGUUGUACUCACUGUCAUGUAUGGUUUUAAUACAUAGAUCAGAGGAAGUAUUUAGCAGGAUCUUCAGUUACACCAGUAGAAAUUAGAGACUUUACUGAGUGUGUGUAGAAUAUCGGAGUUACUAAACUGCCCUGGAAGGGAUAAUACUACACCUGAACUAAUUAGAAACAUUGAAUGGACAGAAUUUCUAGUAAGAUUGACAUAGCAUUUGGCAACUUUUCAUUUCUUAGUAAUUUUCAAUGACUUUGACUAUUCAAGAUUAUCAUAAGAAUGUAAAAGUGUCAUUUAAAUUCUUCAAUGUGUGAUCUUACAUCUUUCUUGACCAUGGUGGAUACUAUAUCAGUAGUUUGUUCCUUGUCAAAAAUUGUCUCAGGAGUUUUUCAUAUUUUAGAGUCUAGUUUGUCAAGCUAUCAUAUUUUAUAGUCAAGUUUGUCAAGGUGUUAUUUUUUCCUCGAAGUCCUAUCUGUUGGAAGAUUUUGUCAUUAUUUUUCUUUCUCUAUUUUCCUUCUCAUGGGUAUGUAGAUUUGCUACAGGCGGUACACAAGGUUUUAUGGAAUCUCAGAAAGGACUGUUGUAGAUUUGGUUCAUCAUUCAUUGACAAGUGGUAUCCCACGUCAAAAGAAGUUAAUGAGGCUGUAAGGGAAAGCGUUAUGAAACUUUUUACAUUUCCUUGGCACGAGUGGUGGGACAUUCCAAUAGUCUCUAAACAAGCCAUGUUUCAAGAGUUUAAGACAAUGUGUUGUUGGUUGGCAAAGCACGAUCAGACCACUUCUACAAUUUUUGAGAGACAUGCUGCUAUGUCACAUCAGAUUACACAUCUUAGACAUGCCUUGACAUAGGUCGUUGCUCCUAAUUCAAGUAGCGAAGAGAAAACACAGAGUGAUGAGGAGUUUGUUGGGGCUACUCCUUAGUGUUGUUGGACUUGACUUUUAGAUAAUUUUUAGAUAUUGUUGAACUUAGCUUUCUAUUAGUGAAAAAUCUUCAGGAGUGUAAGUAUUUUGAAUGUUGUUGAAUUCAUUGUUUAAGUGUUGUUAUUUUAAAUUGUUUUAAUGAUUUGUUGA